rnacentral:ncRNA from 1 species
AAGAUUUCCCAAAAUCAAUCUCAAUGAAGAGGGUGUUGAAAUCAAGGAAAAUUUUGAGGGCAUUCCAUAACUUUUUCCCCUUCAAGAAAUAUCACAGACAACCUUCCAUCCAAAUUCAACAAAAUUGAAACCCAUUUUUGAGAGUUGUUGGUGCCUUAUCCUAUCACCGACGACAACGUUAGGAAAUCUGGAGACGUCGUCGAGGGCCUUGGGAAGAAUUAUCUUUUAUUUUUAACAGCUUGCCGACCCUGAAAUUGGCUCAACCAGAGAUAGGGUCCAGCAGUUGGAAUAGCAUCGCACGUCUUGCAGUGUCCAGUGCACCCUUACAUCCCUUGAAAAUAUGGAGGACCGAGUAUCGUCCAUGCCCGGUCGUACUCGUAACUUCAUCAUGU